GUGUACUAUCCUUUCCAGUGUGACACUAAAUCAAGAUACUCGAUUACAAAAUUGGUAUGGAACUUCUAAAUGCAACAAAUUUUUAUAUUGCAUGUUCAUGAACUCUCUUUUCUAUUAUUGUGGAUCCACCAUUAUUCACUUUUCCAUGUCUUCAUUCUUUUGCAUUCUAUUUCGACCAUGAUUAACUAUUAUAUUGGCC
rnacentral:lncRNA from 1 species